rnacentral:rRNA from 1 species
GACGAACGCUGGCGGCGUGCCUAACACAUGUAAGUCGCACGGGACCGGGGGCAACUCCGGUUCAGUGGCAGACGGGUGCGUAACACGUGAGGAACCUGUCCGACGGCGGGGGAUAGCCGGCCCAACGGCCGGGUAAUACCGCAUACGAUCGUUUGGGGGCAUCCCCGAGCGAUGAAAGCAGCCGCAAGGUUGCGCCGAUGGAGGGUCUCGCGGCCUAUCAGCUAGUUGGCGGGGUAACGGCCCACCAAGGCGACGACGGGUAGCUGGUCUGAGAGGAUGGCCAGCCACAUUGGGACUGAGACACGGCCCAGACUCCUACGGGAGGCAGCAGUGGGGAAUCUUGCGCAAUGGCCGCAAGGCUGACGCAGCGACGCCGCGUGUGGGAUGACGGCCU